GAUGAACGCUAGCUACAGGCUUAACACAUGCAAGUCGAGGGGAAACGACAUCGAAAGCUUGCUUUUGAUGGGCGUCGACCGGCGCACGGGUGAGUAACGCGUAUCCAACCUACCCACCACUUGGGGAUAACCUUGCGAAAGUAAGACUAAUACCCAAUGACGUCUCUAGAAGACAUCUGAAAGAGAUUAAAGAUUUAUCGGUGAUGGAUGGGGAUGCGUCUGAUUAGCUUGUUGGCGGGGUAACGGCCCACCAAGGCGACGAUCAGUAGGGGUUCUGAGAGGAAGGUCCCCCACAUUGGAACUGAGACACGGUCCAAACUCCUACGGGAGGCAGCAGUGAGGAAUAUUGGUCAAUGGGCGUAAGCCUGAACCAGCCAAGUAGCGUGCAGGACGACGGCCCUAUGGGGUUGUAAACUGCUUUUAUGCGGGGAUAAAGUAUGGGGACGUGUCCCAUUUUGCAGGUACCGCAUGAAUAAGGACCGGCUAAUUCCGUGCCAGCAG
rnacentral:rRNA from 1 species